CAUCUCCUUGUCCACACUCACACCCUCUUUUGUUUGCAACACAAAUCAUCAGAUAUCUUCAUCCCCUUCAAAUGAAACCCUAAUACACUCAAAUGAGAAAUAAAACAUCAUCAUCCUCACUAAAAUACACACACCAAACAAACCUCUCCACUCCCACAUCUCACCCUCCCUCUCGAUUCCCCUCUGCCACAGAAAUAAAUGAAGGAACAUUAUCUCCUUCAUCCUGAGUUCAAUCAAACACAUCCGCACAUCAUCAGCCUCCCUCAUCUCCCUCUCGAUCUCCUUCCUCUCUCCGGCAAGAUAUCACAGCCGGUGAUGAUGCGGCAGAGCUCCGGUGCCAGCCAUAACUCUGACAACCACACCCACGUUACCUCGUUUUCCGGCGACGAAAAUCAGAAGAGGCGAGAGAGACGGAGAGAGAGAACGACGCGGUGAUGGAAGUGUUUCUCUGGUGGGGUUGAUGAUGAGAUGACGAUGAUGAAGAUGUUCCUGUUCGGGUGGCGGUUACGAGGUUCUCACCGGCGACGGUGACUGACGACGAAGUUGUCAGUCGGGUGGGAGACAACAUCAGCGGUAGAACCGCUUUCCGACAGCCGGUGGCGGAGGCAAUGCGACAACACAGACAGAUAUGGUGGUCAAAUUUGGUUCGGGUUUCGUUUAGACGCGGCUUCGGGCAUAUAUGGGUCUCGGUUCACAUAGUUCACCUUUGGCCCAGGUCACGGUUCGGUCACUCGAGUCAGAUUCAAGGUAUGCUUAGUUCAGAUUCAAGAUUUAUUUUGGUUUGGGUUUUUCAAGUAAGUUUCGGGAUUAGUUGGUUCAGAUUGAUGCUCGGGUGGUUUUGCUGUUGAUGCUGGACCUCCGCCCGAUGAAGAUGAUGAUGACAGUAGGGUGGAGGUGGUUAUGUGGCUCGGUUCAAUUCCAUUCAUGUUCGGGUUUCUCUCCAGUCGACUCGGUUCAGUCUCGGUAUGGGUUCGGGUCAGCUGGUCAACGGUUCCAACACGGUCCAGAUUUGGCGCGUUUUAGUUCAGAUAUCGGUUCAGGUUCUGGCAUGGUCAAAGGCGGUCGACGACAAAACAGCGCGAUUCAGAAUUCGGGUUUGGUUGACUCGGUCAAACCGAUUCAACCCGGUCAAACCUGGUCAACAGCGAGUCAACUCGGUCAAACCGAGUUAACUCGGUCAACCCAGUCCACGUUCUGACGCAAGAGUUUUGAAUGCACGAUAGCGAGUCUCAUCUUGGAAACGACAUUACGAAGUCGUAUAUAGCUAGUUUCGCACGGGAAUAUUCAGGUGAGUUCAUAACCCCACCUUUUUACGGUUUUACAUUUUUAUAAAUGUUUUCGGGGUGGAAAGACAUGCAAGUUUUGCAAAAGUCAACAAUUUUAUCGAUAAACAAAAACUCAUUUCUAAACCA